rnacentral:rRNA from 1 species
UACGGAGGGGGCUAGCGUUGUUCGGAAUUACUGGGCGUAAAGCGCACGCAGGCGGCUUUGUAAGUUAGAGGUGAAAGCCCGGGGCUCAACUCCGGAAUUGCCUUUAAGACUGCAUCGCUAGAAUUGUGGAGAGGUAAGUGGAAUUCCGAGUGUAGAGGUGAAAUUCGUAGAUAUUCGGAAGAACACCAGUGGCGAAGGCGACUUACUGGACACAUAUUGACGCUGAGGUGCGAAAGCGUGGGGAGCAAACAGGG